GACGAACGCUGGCGGCGUGCUUAACACAUGCAAGUCGAACGGAAAGGCCUGCUUUCCCUUGUGGUUUGCGGGUACUCGAGUGGCGAACGGGUGAGUAACACGUGAGUGAUCUGCCCCCAACUUGGGUAUAAGCCUGGGAAACUGGGUCUAAUUCCCGAUAGUACUGCAGGGUGGUGCCUGUGGUGGAAAACGAUUUUCUAGUUGUUGGGGAUGAGCUCGCGGCCUAUCAGCUUGUUGGUGGGGUAAUGGCCUACCAAGGCGGCGACGGGUAGCCGGCCUGAGAGGGUGGACGGCCACAUUGGGACUGAGAUACGGCCCAGACUCCGACGGGAGGCAGCAGUGGGGAAUAUUGCACAAUGGGCGGAAGCCUGAUGCAGCGACGCCGCGUGGGGGAUGACGGCCUUCGGGUUGUAAACUCCUUUCGACCGCGAGGAAGCCACCUGGUUGGAAGGGUGGUGACGGUAGUGGGAGAAGAAGCACCGGCUAACUACGUG
rnacentral:rRNA from 1 species